rnacentral:lncRNA from 10 species
CCUCCCUCUGGGAGCUCUUCCCCAGGGAGGCGAGGAGCUGCUACUGGCCCGAUUGCCCUGGAGGGGGUGGGGGUGAGGGGACUGCCGGGGGUGGUGGGUGGAGUCCCAGGUUGAGAGGUCUUGCCCAGUGAGGAAAAAUGGGGUGGAGGACCCAUGUAAAAAACGAUCUGAAUGCUUUUUUAUAGGGCAGCUGCACUGUGCCGGGGGGCCAGUCAGUCCCUCAUCACCCUGGGCUCUCCAGUGCCUGAAGGCAGCAACAGCAAAGGCUGCAAAACAGCAAAGAUGGUGGCCCACCCCUCCCUCCGGGAGCUCCCUCUCAGGGAGGCGUGGAGCUGCUACCAUGGUCACAUGUGGCUGGAGUUCCAGGUCAGUGGGUCUUACCCCACCAGGUGCCGUGGAAGUGAGGCCUGCAGACUGUCUCUGCUCAGCCCCUUGGAUUCAGCCCCUUUCCCUUAAGGGAGCCUAACCUACCCCUUUGCCAGAGCUGUGGCUGCUAAUCCUGGGAUGCCCGGGGACCAAAGGCUCCUAGGACCCUGAUCAGUGGCUCUGCCCAGACUCCACCUAGCUCUGUGUGUCAGAGUGAACCCUGGUAGUAGGUUCAUGAGGGGGACCUCCUGACCUCAGCGUUGCAAAGAGAUGGGGUUUCACCAUGUUGCUCAGGGUGGUCUUGAACUCCUGGACUCAAGUGAUCCACUCCCUUCAGCCUACCCAGGUGCUGGGAUUACAGGUAUGAGCCACUUCUACUUUUAACCUACGUAUAUCAUGAUGUUUGAGGCCGUUGAGUUCAGCUUAUGGUGAUGGAAAGAGAGAUGUCAAUAAUUCCACAUUUUCUGGCUUGCAUUGUUUGAUGAAAGGUGACCCCAUUCCCUGAGUUAAAGAAUGCUGAAAGAAGACCAGGCUUGAGGAGGAAGGAUCAUGCAUUUGCUUUUGGACCUGUAGAGUUUGAGGGCAGAGCUGAAGAAGCAGUGCAAGUCCAUUUGAAGACCUCUGGAAGGAAACCCCCAGCGGCUCUUUUUUCACUGAACAAGCAUUGUGGGAAUUUGGGGCUCGGCUGUGUAAUUUGUCCUCUUCUCAUUCAUUCAGGACAUGUUCAGCACCAGGAGGAAUUUGCAUCCAAGUCCGUCUCCCUGCUAAGUGGUAUUUUGAGAAUUCCGAAGCUUAGUCUCAGAGAAGAGCUGACCUGAACUUGCCGAGGCUCCCACUGCAUUGUAGCUUUUCUCUGGAGAACAAAAACUGCCAUUGUCCAGCAGCUCAUUAGCAUGACUGUACAGCCUCCGGAGUUAGCAAGGUGAUGCAAAAAUAAUAUGACAAGAUCCAUGUCUUCAAUGAGCUACAAUCCUACUGGGACAUGAGACUGUGCUUAUAAUAUGAUGAAAGAAUAAGAAAAUUUUAAAGAUGAAAACACAGCAGCAACAGGUGCCAUUUUGGAAGCAAGAAGCAGAGAACAAGCUCUCACUGGGCAUUAAAUCUGCCGGCAUCUUGAUCUUGAACUUCUCAACCUCCAGAACUCUGAGAAAUAAAUUUCUAUUAUUUACAAAUUACCCAGUCUAAGGUGUUUUGUUAUAGCAGCUCAAACAAAUUAAGAUAUCUGUUUAUUGCUUUUGGUAUGUGUUUGUGUUUUAAUUUUCUUGGAAGGUAGAGCAGAGAGACAAAAAUCACCAAAUUUUGGUGACAUGGUUGAAGCUCUGGGUCAAACCAAUCUUUGAGUCCAGCCUCUGAACCUCGCAUUAAAGUCCUUUAUAGUUUAGAUUGGUUAGGAUUAGGUCUCUUGAUGUUUGUUUUCACCUUGAGGGUUCCUAACUGCUACGGGGAGUCAGUGUGAUUUAACUCUAAGUGAAGAAGAACAGUUUAGAGGGAUGAUCCUGCACAUCUGCAUGGUGAUUGAAUUUAUGUCUCCUAUAAUUGUAUAUACAAAAUGAAAGUUUGGACUCUACAGGACAGGAGACUUUCCCCAACUUCUACCCUCCUUUAUCUUUUGCUGAUUAGUAUUGCAACAGGCACCUAACCAAACUCUCUGGCUCUGGGCCUGUGCUGUGUCUUCUAAUCUUCACACAGCUGCCAGCAUUAUCUUUAAAAGACAGAUCUUAUUAUUUUACACACAAAACAGACACACAUCUCCAUGCAGCAUCUGCUUAAAGUGUUUCUGUGGUUCCUGAUUGCUGACUGGAUUUCACUCAACUUUUUAGCAUGGCCCACAUGGAGCUACCUCUGCCCCACCUUUUCAGUUUCAACUCUUAGGACCCUCUCCUACAAACAUUGGGGUUCACUGUACCCUGAACAUGUGAUAGUCUUGCGUGUCUCCAAGCCUUUGCAUCUGCUAUUCCCCAUGCAUGCAAGGUCUUGCUCUUACUUUCUGUACAGGAGAACUCCUCUUCACCUUUGAAAACCCUCAACUCAAAUACCAAUUGGUUAAGACAUAUUUCUUGAUGUCCCCUGACAGAACCACUAGGAUGUGUAUGACUUAUUAUAGGAAUUUGACAUUUCACAACUGUGGGCGCUAGUUAGUUGGUAAACAGCCUUUGGGAGGUUGUUGUGUUUAUCUUGAAGGCAGGAAGUUGAAAAGGGAAAAUGGAAAAGAAGAACAAAUUGGGACCUGAAUGGUGCCUAUGAGGAUGAACUGGAACCCGUGUUGGUCUGGAACCUUGGUUGGAAAUCCAAGCUUUCAACUUUAAUGAUGCGGAUGUUCUGCAAGAGAAGCUGGUGCACUUUUUCAUGCUUGAUAUGCACCUGGCCCAGGAGUCAGAGAAGCUGAAAAACGAUCCAGCAGGAGCUGGAGUCUGUGUGGGCCUUGUUGUUGCACCACCGUCCGCCUCCAGGCAAGACAACUG